rnacentral:rRNA from 1 species
CGACCGCGACCCCAGGUCAGACGGGACUACCCGCUGAGUUUAAGCAUAUCAAUAAGCGGUGGAGAAGA